rnacentral:rRNA from 1 species
AUGGCGGCCAACUCCUCCUCCCCGUCGGCCGGCGGCGACGCGCCGGCCCCGGCGCUGCCGCCGGUGCGCCUCGCGGCGGGCCAGGCGGCCACGAUCCAGCCCUCCUCCCCGCGCUACUUCUUCUCCUCGCUCGCCGGCAAGGACGCCUCCUCCCAUCGCCGCAUCGCCAUCGCCGUCGACCUCUCCGACGAGUCCGCCUUCGCCGUGCGGUGGGCCGUGCAGAACUACCUGCGCCCCGGCGACGCCGUCGUGCUCCUCCACGUGCGCCCCACCUCCGUCCUCUACGGCGCUGACUGGGGCUCCAUCCCCGUCUCCGUCUCCGACGACGACGCGGACGACGCCGCCGUCGCCGUCGCCGCCGAGGGCUCCGACCCCGCCGCCUCCGCGGAGGAGCUGCAGAAGAAGCGGGAGGAGGACUUCGACGCCUUCACGUCCACCAAGUCGCAGGACCUGGCGCAGCCGCUCGUUGCCGCGCAGAUCCCCUUUAAGAUCCACGUCGUCAAGGACCACGACAUGAAGGAGCGCCUCUGCCUCGAGGCCGAGCGCCUUGGCCUGUCAGCCAUGAUCAUGGGAAGCCGCGGAUUCGGGGCCUCGCGCAAGGGCGGCAAAGGGAGGCUCGGGAGUGUUAGUGAUUACUGUGUGCAUCACUGUGUCUGCCCGGUUGUGGUUGUUCGCUACCCAGAUGACGCUGCAGGUAUCCCCGGGGAGGCAGCAGCAGCAACAGAUGAGCUGCACACCGUGCCGGAGGAUGAGCCCGUGUAUCAUGAUGCGCCUGACGCACACAAAGAAAACUGA